GGGACAAGAGCAUGUGGCUGGAAUGGAAGUGGCCACGAAGGUCACAUCUGGCCUGGUGUCCUCACCUCCUGACACAGGGGUCUGAGAAUCUCCUGUGAUCCCUGCCAGCAUCCACGAGGCAGGCAAGAGAAAGAGUGCUUUGUGAAGGCCCUGAAGCAGAAGACAGAGACAGAAGUGGAACUUCACGAAGAAGCUUGAUCCCAGGGCCACUGGAGUCUGAGGUCCAGUGGAUGGAGAGCCACGAUAAUCCAGCAUCCACGAGACAGGCAAGAGAAAGAGUACUUUGUGAAGGCCCUGCAGCAGAAGACAGACACAGAAGUGGAGCUUCAAGAAGAAGGUUGAUCUCAGGGCCCCUGGAGUCUGAGGACCAGUGGAUG
rnacentral:lncRNA from 1 species